UCGCAUGUUAACCGAGGGCUGCAGCUGUCUCCAUAGCAGCAGUUUCUCCAACAGCAUGCAAGAAAAAAAUGGAGGGGCUUUGAUGGCUGAGGUAUGUCACAUGGUUCCACAUGCUGUCACUCUACCCUCGCACAAUG